AUUGAACGCUGGCGGCAGGCCUAACACAUGCCAGUCGAACGGUAACAGGAAGCAGCUUGCUGCUUUGCUGACGAGUGGCGGACGGGUGAGUAAUGUCUGGGAAACUGCCUGAUGGAGGGGGAUAACUACUGGAAACGGUAGCUAAUACCGCAUAACGUCGCAAGACCAAAGAGGGGGACCUUCGGGCCUCUUGCCAUCGGAUGUGCCCAGAUGGGAUUAGCUAGUAGGUGGGGUAACGGCUCACCUAGGCGACGAUCCCUAGCUGGUCUGAGAGGAUGACCAGCCACACUGGAACUGAGACACGGUCCAGACUCCUACGGGAGGCAGCAGUGGGGAAUAUUGCACAAUGGGCGCAAGCCUGAUGCAGCCAUGCCGCGUGUAUGAAGAAGGCCUUCGGGUUGUAAAGUACUUUAAGCGGGGAGGAAGGGAGUAAAGUUAAUACCUUUGCUCAUUGACGUUACCAGCAGAAGAAGCACCGGCUAACUCCGUG
rnacentral:rRNA from 1 species